UGCUCUGAUACCAAUUGUUGG
rnacentral:miRNA from 1 species